CCCUUAGAUGUCCUGGGCUGCACGCGCGCUACACUGAUGUGUCCAGUGAGCACCUAACCUCUUCCGAAAGGAACGGGUAACCUUUGCAAAGCACAUCGUGAUGGGGAUAGAUUAUUGCAAUUAUUAGUCUUGAACGAGGAAUUCCUAGUAAGCACAAGUCAUCAGCUUGUGUUGAUUACGUCCCUGCCCUUUGUACACACCGCCCGUCGCUCCUACCGAUUGAAUGUUCCGGUGAGCUCUUCGGACUGCGCGGUCUGCAGUUUCUGCGUUCCGUGCGGAAAGUUGCGCAAACCUUAACAUUUAGAGGAAGGAGAAGUCGUAACA
rnacentral:rRNA from 1 species